AAAUAGAUACCCAGGUAGUCCACGCCGUAAACGAUGAGUGCUAAGUGUUAGAGGGUUUCCGCCCUUUAGUGCUGCAGCAAACGCAUUAAGCACUCCGCCUGGGGAGUACGGUCGCAAGACUGAAACUCAAAGGAAUUGACGGGGGCCCGCACAAGCGGUGGAGCAUGUGGUUUAAUUCGAAGCAACGCGAAGAACCUUACCAGGUCUUGACAUCCCGUGACAACUCUGGAGACAGAGCGUUCCCUUCGGGGACACGGUGACAGGUGGUGCAUGGUUGUCGUCAGCUCGUGUCGUGAGAUGUUGGGUUAAGUCCCGCAACGAGCGCAACCCUUGAUCUUAGUUGCCAGCAUUCAGUUGGGCACUCUAAGGUGACUGCCGGUGACAAACCGGAGGAAGGUGGGGAUGACGUCAAAUCAUCAUGCCCCUUAUGACCUGGGCUACACACGUGCUACAAUGGAUGGUACAAAGGGUAGCGAGACCGCGAGGUUUAGCCAAUCCCAUAAAACCAUUCUCAGUUCGGAUUGCAGGCUGA
rnacentral:rRNA from 1 species